UAGCGGAGAAAUUCCAAUCGAACCCGGAGAUAGCUGGUUCUCUCCGAAAUAGCUUUAGGGCUAGCCUUGAAAUAGAUUACCGGAGGUAAAGCACUGAAUUGGCUAGGGGCCGAGAGGUUACUGAACCUUAUCAAACUAAGAAUGCCGGAUAAUCGUUUUUCAGGAGUCAGACAGUGGGAGAUAAGUUUCAUUGUCAAAAGGGAAACAGCCCAGACCCACAGCUAAGGUCCCCAAGUAUAGUUAAGUGGAAAAGGAUGUGGAAUUGCACAGACAACCAGGAUGUUGGCUUAGAAGCAGCCACUCAUUAAAAGAGUGCGUAAUAGCUCACUGGUCGAGUGACUCUGCGCCGAAAAUUUAACGGGGCUAAACUAUACACCGAAGCUUGGGAUACAUCUAAUGUAUGGUAGGAGAGCGUUCUGUAUGGGGAGAAGUCGUAGCGAAAGCGGCGGUGGACUAUACAGAAGUGAGAAUGCCGGAAUAAGUAGCGAGAAUUAAGUGAGAAUCUUAAUGGCCGAAAGUCUAAGGUUUUUGGAGGAAGGUUCGUCCGCUCCAAGUAAGUCGGGAGCUAAGGUCAGGCCGAAAGGCGUAGCCGAUGCACAUACGGUUGAUAUUCCGUAACCAUCUGUAAUUUAAGCAAAGGGACACUUUAAAAGGGUGUGACCCGGGCGUUGGUUGACCCGGGCGUAAGGGACCGAAAUUAGAGUAGGGAAGCACACUUGGCUGAAGGCGAGAAAAGCUUUGCGUAUAGAAACAGAUGCCCGUACCGCAAACCGACACAGGUGGACAGGAAGAGAAUUCUAAGGCCAGCGGGAGAAGGGUAGUUAAGGAACUCGGCAAAUUGACUCCGUAACUUCGGAAUAAGGAGUGCUCGAAAGAGCCGCAGAGAAUAGGCCCAGGCGACUGUUUAGCAAAAACACAGGUCUCUGCCAAAUCGAAAGAUGAAGUAUAGGGGCUGACACCUGCCCGGUGCCGGAAGGUUAAGAGGAGGAGUGAGAGCUCCGAAUUGAAGCCCCGGUAAACGGCGGCCGUAACUAUAACGGUCCUAAGGUAGCGAAAUUCCUUGUCGGGUAAGUUCCGACCCGCACGAAUGGUGUAACGAUCUGGGCACUGUCUCAACUACCCACCCGGCGAAAUUGUAGUACCGGUGAAGAUGCCGGUUACCUGCGGCAAGACGGAAAGACCCCAUGGAGCUUUACUGUAGCCUGAUAUUGGGUUUCGGAAAUCUAUGUACAGGAUAGGCGGGAGACUGGGAAACAUGAGCGUCAGCUUGUGUGGAGUCGAUGUUGGGAUACCGCCCUUAGGUUUCUGGAAUUCUAACCUGCGGCCGUGAAACCGGUCGGGGGACAUUGUCAGGUGGGCAGUUUGACUGGGGCGGUCGCCUCCGAAAAGGUAACGGAGGCGCUCAAAGGUUAGCUCAGCACGGACGGAAACCGUGCCUCUGAGUGUAAACGCAAAAGCUAGCCUAACUGCGAGGGUGACGGCCCGAGCAGUAACGAAAGUUGGAGUUAGUGAUCCGGCGGUAUGUGAAUGGAAAUGCCGUCGCUCAACGGAUAAAAGCUACCCUGGGGAUAACAGGCUGAUCUCCCCCAAGAGUCCACAUCGACGGGGAGGUUUGGCACCUCGAUGUCGGCUCAUCACAUCCUGGGGCUGUAUUCGGUCCCAAGGGUUCGGCUGUUCGCCGAUUAAAGUGGUACGCGAGCUGGGUUCAGAACGUCGCGAGACAGUUCGGUCCCUAUCUGUCGUGGGCGCAGGAUAUUUGAGGAGCUCUGUCCUUAGUACGAGAGGACCGGGAUGGACGUACCUCUGGUGCACCAGUUGUCAUGCCAAUGGCACGGCUGGGCAGCUAUGUACGGAACGGAUAAACGCUGAAAGCAUCUAAGCGUGAAGCCGACUCCAAGAUUAGAUAUCCCAUCGUAUAACGAGUAAGACCCCUUGAAGACUACGAGGUUGAUAGGCUGCGUGUGUAAGUGCCGUGAGGCAUUCAGCUUGGCAGUACUAAUAGGUCGAGGGCUUGACCAC
rnacentral:rRNA from 1 species